rnacentral:rRNA from 1 species
UACGUAGGGUGCAAGCGUUAAUCGGAAUUACUGGGCGUAAAGCGUGCGCAGGCGGUUUUGUAAGUCUGAUGUGAAAUCCCCGGGCUCAACCUGGGAAUUGCAUUGGAGACUGCAAGGCUAGAAUCUGGCAGAGGGGGGUAGAAUUCCACGUGUAGCAGUGAAAUGCUGUAGAGAUGUGGAGGAACACCGAUGGCGAAGGCAGCCCCCUGGGUCAAGA